rnacentral:ncRNA from 1 species
UUCUUCAGGGCAGGGUGCAACCCCCUACCGGCGGUACAGCCCGCGACCCGCUGGGAGCUUUCCCCGCGGCUGAUCCGGUUUGAUUCCGGAGCCGACAGUUACAGUCUGGAUGGAAGAAGAA